rnacentral:rRNA from 1 species
GAUGAGCGCUAGCGAUAGGCUUAACACAUGCAAGUCGAGUGGCAGCGAGGGUAGCAAUACCUGUCGGCGACCGGCGCACGGGUGAGUAACGCGUAUGUAACCUGCCCGCAACAGGGGGAUAACCCGGCGCAAGUCGGACUAAUACCGCAUAAAACAGGGGUCCCGCAUGGGAAUAUUUGUUAAAGAUUUAUCGGUUGCGGAUGGGCAUGCGUACCAUUAGGUAGUUGGUGAAGUAACGGCUCACCAAGCCUUCGAUGGUUAGGGGUUAUGAGAGGAAGGUCCCCCACACUGGUACUGAGACACGGACCAGACUCGUACGGGAGGCAGCAGUGAGGAAUAGUAGUAGAUGGGAGAGAGCCUGAACCAGCCAAGUCGCGUGAAGGAUGACUGCCCUAGGGGUUGUAAACUUCUUUUACAAGGGAAUAAAAUGAGAUACGUGUAUUUUAUUGCAUGUACCUUGAGAAUAAGCAUCGGCUAACUCCGUG